UAGGAACAGUUCUUCCACGGGCC
rnacentral:piRNA from 1 species